ensembl:lincRNA
CUCCAACAGGGUGCCUUUGUUGCUCAGCCCACCGCUCUCAACUUCUUGUGGGAGGCAGCAUGUGAGCCAGGCAAAGCUGGAGUGCCAGAGUGCUAGAAUCAGCUGGCUGCUUCGGUGCCAGCGGGAUCAAACUCCACUCACUCAGAUCUGCUGCAUUCCACCCCUCACAGGAGUGACCACACAGAGGUCUACCUAAGGGUCCCUGGCAAAAGAGAGCCAUCAUCUGAGGCUCCAGUUGUCUGACUGUUUG